UUUUUUUUUUUUUUUUUUUUCUCUCAGAGCUGGGGACCGAACCCAGGGCAUUGGCUUGCUAGGCAAGUGCUCUACCACUGAGCUAAAUCCCCAACCCCAAAUGAAGGAAUUCUUAAUGACCUUCCUGCCUCAGCUUCCCAAGUGAUUGAAUUAGAAAUAAAGGUAUGGAAUACACCCAAUGCUACCAUUUAAGCCUCUAUAAAUGUGACUGAUAGAGAGCUGGAGAGAUGGCUCAGCAGUUAAGAGCACUGACUGCUCUUCCAGAGGUCCUGAGUUCAAUUUCCAGCAACCACGUGGUGGCUCACAGCCAUCUGUAAUGGGAUCUGAUGCCCUCUUCUGGUGUGUCUAAAGACAGCUACAGUGUGCUCAUAUACAUAAAAUGAAUAAAUGAGUUUUUUAAAAAGUGGCUGAUAGAAAAUAAGGCUUCCAAAAUUGGGUUUUGAACUGGGUGUGGUAGCUCCUGUCCAUAGCCCUGUAGCAGAUCACUCUGGGUUCAAGGACAGCUUUGGCUGCAUUCCAGACCCCUGGGAUAGAAUGAGAAUCUCUCCAAAAACACAAAAGUGGUGGUGAUGCCCGAAAGAUUGCACAUCAGUUAAAACCACUGGAGAGGACCAGACUUCCAUUCCUAGCACCUAAGUCAGGUAGCUCACAAUCACCUGUGUAACUCAAACUCAAAAGGUGGGGUCUGAUCACUGUACUCUGCAUGGGUAUCUGAAUGCCACAGGGACAUAUCCCCCAACCCCAUAGUUAGAAAUAAGACAAAUCUGAAAGAAAAAUGUUGACUCGAAACUGUUCUCCGCAAAAAUGCGAACUGUUUGUAUGAAAUGGGAAAGAUGUUGGUAAUAAGAAAGGCAGAGCAUAGGUGUGUCCUUUUGCUUCCAGCCUUCCAGAGCUUCCGUGCCUCGGCCUCACCAAGUAGCUUAGACAGCUACAAUUUAGAUAUGUGUGUGUGUUUCCAGUAAGUAAGUUGCAUCCUUCAAUCCUGGAAAAAAUCCUCAGGGCUGGAACUCAAGCACAGUGUAAAUGUCUUCUCUAUGUGACUGGACUGGUUUGGUAAACCAGCUUUGGGAAUGCCUUAAACAGAACCAAGCAAGCAGAAGCCUGCAUUCCAGGCCACUGUUCUCCCUGCUUCUCUGCCAUUUGUUUGACUGGGACCUUGCUUUGUCUUCCCUCCUAGGGUCUGGGUUUCAUAAAUUGUUGCUUCUAAUGCUAGGGUUACUGUUCUGUUUUCAGAGACAGGCAGAGCACCCCUUAGACUGAGCAGCCUAGCCCAGCCCAGCA
rnacentral:lncRNA from 1 species